GACGAACGCUGGCGGCGUGCUUAACACAUGCAAGUCGAGCGGUAAGGCCCUUUCGGGGGUACACGAGCGGCGAACGGGUGAGUAACACGUGGGUGACCUGCCUUUAGCUCUGGGAUAAGCCUGGGAAACUGGGUCUAAUACCGGAUAUGACCCUAUGGCGCAUGUUGUGGGGUGGAAAGCCUUGUGCGGCUAGGGAUGGGCCCGCGGCCUAUCAGCUUGUUGGUGGGGUGAUGGCCUACCAAGGCGACGACGGGUAGCCGGCCUGAGAGGGCGACCGGCCACACUGGGGACUGAGACACGGCCCAGACUCCUACGGGAGGCAGCAGUGGGGAAUCUUGCGCAAUGGGCGAAAGCCUGACGCAGCGACGCCGCGUGAGGGAUGAC
rnacentral:rRNA from 1 species